rfam:Lasallia pustulata genome assembly, contig: scaffold29971_size836
GCCUGGUUAGCAUAAAAGAAAUGUACCCGUUUUGUAAUCGGUAGAAGUAAGUGCGAUACUUGCACUGGGCU